rnacentral:rRNA from 1 species
GGUUAAGUGACUAAGCGUACACGGUGGAUGCCUUGGCAGUCAGAGGCGAUGAAAGACGUAGUAACUUGCGAUAAGCCCAGAUUAGGUAGUAACAACCAUUUGAGUCUGGGAUUUCUGAAUGGGGAAACCCACGUGCAUAAGCACGUAUCCUUACCUGAAUACAUAGGGUAAGGAGGCGAACCGGGGGAACUGAAACAUCUAAGUACCCCGAGGAAAAGAAAUCAACCGAGAUUCCGAAAGUAGCGGCGAGCGAAAUUGGACUAGCCCUUAAGCUUUACACGCGUUAGACGAACGGUCUGGAAAGUCCGACGAUACAGGGUGAUAGUCCCGUAGUUGACGACGUGUGUUCAGUGAAAUCGAGUAGGGCGGGACACGUGAUAUCCUGUCUGAAUAUGGGGGGACCAUCCUCCAAGGCUAAAUACUACUGACUGACCGAUAGUGAACCAGUACCGUGAGGGAAAGGCGAAAAGAACCCCUGUGAGGGGAGUGAAAUAGAACCUGAAACCGUGUACGUACAAGCAGUAGGAGCACCUUCGUGGUGUGACUGCGUACCUUUUGUAUAAUGGGUCAGCGACUUAUAUUCAGUGGCAAGGUUAACCAUCUAGGGGAGCCGUAGGGAAACCGAGUCUUAACUGGGCGUUCAGUCUCUGGAUAUAGACCCGAAACCAGGUGAUCUAGCCAUGGGCAGGUUGAAGGUUGAGUAACAUCAACUGGAGGACCGAACCGACUAAUGUUGAAAAAUUAGCGGAUGACUUGUGGCUAGGGGUGAAAGGCCAAUCAAACCUGGAGAUAGCUGGUUCUCCCCGAAAGCUAUUUAGGUAGCGCCUCGGACGAAUACUACUGGGGGUAGAGCACUGUUAAGGCUAGGGGGUCAUCCCGACUUACCAACCCUUUGCAAACUCCGAAUACCAGUAAGUACUAUCCGGGAGACACACGGCGGGUGCUAACGUCCGUCGUGGAGAGGGAAACAACCCAGACCGCCAGCUAAGGUCCCAAAUUACUACUAAGUGGGAAACGAUGUGGGAAGGCUCAGACAGCCAGGAUGUUGGCUUAGAAGCAGCCAUCAUUUAAAGAAAGCGUAAUAGCUCACUGGUCGAGUCGGCCUGCGCGGAAGAUGUAACGGGGCUAAGUAGUAAACCGAAGCUGCGGCAAUAUACUUUUGUAUAUUGGGUAGGGGAGCGUUCUGUAAGCGGUUGAAGGUGUGUGGUAACGCAUGCUGGACGUAUCAGAAGUGCGAAUGCUGACAUGAGUAACGAUAAAGGGGGUGAAAAACCUCCUCGCCGGAAGACCAAGGGUUCCUGUCCAACGUUAAUCGGGGCAGGGUAAGUCGACCCCUAAGGCGAGGCCGAAAGGCGUAGUCGAUGGGAAACGGGUUAAUAUUCCCGUACUUCUUACAAUUGCGAUGGGGGGACGGAGAAGGCUAGGUGGGCCUGGCGACGGUUGUC